AUUGUUUGGUCCUUCUUCAGCCUUAGCUGCUUGUGCAACAGUCGUAGCACGUCGCGUCAACCCUUUCGAAGAAACAACUUCCUCAGAAUCAUCACCAUUGUUUAAGUGUGCCAAAUACGGGUUCUUUGACUCUUGCCUUAGUUUCUUCUGAGCUGGUUCCAUAGUCGAAAAUCGCCCUUAUAUAAACCCUUCCCACAAUUCUGUAAAUGGCGAAGAACACAGUGCAUACUCCGUACUACAAGCAGUUAAAGAAUUUUCCAACAAACCAUCUAUCUUAACAUU